rnacentral:rRNA from 1 species
UACGUAGGGUGCAAGCGUUGUCCGGAAUUAUUGGGCGUAAAGAGCUUGUAGGCGGUUUGUCGCGUCUGCUGUGAAAUUUCGGGGCUCAACCCCGAACUUGCAGUGGGUACGGGCAGACUAGAGUGUGGUAGGGGAGACUGGAAUUCCUGGUGUAGCGGUGAAAUGCGCAGAUAUCAGGAGGAACACCGAUGGCGAAGGCAGGUCUCUGGGCUGAAACUGACGCUCAAGCACGAAAGCGUGGGGAGCAAACAGG